GACGAACGCUGGCGGCGUGCCUAAUACAUGCAAGUAGAACGCUGAAGGAGGAGCUUGCUUCUCUGGAUGAGUUGCGAACGGGUGAGUAACGCGUAGGUAACCUGCCUGGUAGCGGGGGAUAACUAUUGGAAACGAUAGCUAAUACCGCAUAAUAGUAGAUGUCGCAUGACAUUUGCUUAAAAGGUGCAAUUGCAUCACUACCAGAUGGACCUGCGUUGUAUUAGCUAGUUGGUGAGGUAACGGCUCACCAAGGCAACGAUACAUAGCCGACCUGAGAGGGUGAUCGGCCACACUGGGACUGAGACACGGCCCAGACUCCUACGGGAGGCAGCAGUAGGGAAUCUUCGGCAAUGGACGGAAGUCUGACCGAGCAACGCCGCGUGAGUGAAGAAGGUUUUCGGAUCGUAAAGCCCUGUUGUAAGAGAAGAAACGAGUGUGAGAGUGGAAAGGUCAC
rnacentral:rRNA from 1 species